AGUGAACGCUGGCGGUAGGCCUAACACAUGCAAGUCGAACGGCAGCACAGUAAGAGCUUGCUCUUACGGGUGGCGAGUGGCGGACGGGUGAGGAAUACAUCGGAAUCUACUUUUUCGUGGGGGCUAACGUAGGGAAACUUACGCUAAUACCGCAUACGACCUACGGGUGAAAGCAGGGGAUCUUCGGACCUUGCGCGAUUGAAUGAGCCGAUGUCGGAUUAGCUAGUUGGCGGGGUAAAGGCCCACCAAGGCGACGAUCCGUAGCUGGUCUGAGAGGAUGAUCAGCCACACGGGAAGUGAGACACGGUCCAGACUCCUACGGUAGGCAGCAGUGGGGAAUAUUGGACAAUGGGCGCAAGCCUGAUCCAGCCAUACCGCGUGGGUGAAGAAGGCCUUCGGGUUGUAAAGCCCUUUUGUUGGGAAAGAAAAGCAGCAGGUUAAUACCCCACUGCUCUGACGGUACCCAAAGAAUAAGCACCGGCUAACUUCGUG
rnacentral:rRNA from 1 species